AAAUGGAUAAAAAUAAAAACAGGGGGUAUGUAGCCUCUUUGCCGUCUGCUAGCGGACGACAAAGAGGACACGUGGCAGCUACCUGUAAAACCUGGGAAACACUGGCUGCCUAUUUGGUCACUUCUGCUGGCAGACGGCAAAGAUUCAAAUCACUUUGCCGUCCGCUAGUAGACGGCAUAACUAGCCACGUGGCAGCUCUCCAGUACUGCCUAGCUGAGCACUUUGCCGUCUGUCAGCGGGUGGCAAAGAGCUUUGACUCUUUGCCGUCUACUAGCUGACGGCAAAGAGCGUCGUUAAUCCCCUAACGGCACUCACGCCACUGCACUACCGUCCGUUGUCAUUGCCGUCUGCUGGCCUCGGAUGGCGGAAGGCAAAAUCCUUUGCCGUCCGUUUCCAGGAAGCAGACGGCAAAGAAGGCCAUUGCUGGCACGUGUUCAGACGGACAGUUUGCUGUCUGUUGGCGGACGACAAAGACGUUUGCCCUCCGUGAUCCAUGCCUUUGCCGUCCGCCAUGGAGGACGGCAAAUAAGCUGAUUCCAGUACUGUAUGGACACUGGAGGGGACUAGGUUUAUACAAAGUUGAUUACGUAGAAAGGAAAUAGUAUCUCCGGCCGUAUGGCUUGCUGUCCACGCAAAGAAGACUCCCAUCCAGACACGGAAAAAAGACUUCCAUCUUGUAUCUUCAUGGCCCAAUAAUCCGGCACAUGUCCAAUAGGUUGGAGACCCGAGGACCCCUUAGUCCAGGACUCCCUCAACCGUCUUCCCUCCAUCGUUGGAGAUGCCCGCCAUCAGCGGGAGCGCGGCAGCAAGGUGCUUCUCCUUAGUGAUGGACGAUGCACUAAGGCCCAGCUCUAACAAGGGAGCUUGGCCUAUGGAAGGAACAGGAGGUCGCCUUUUUGGUGGCCAUCAGUGGUUAGCUUCUGGAAAAGAUUCGGCAGAUAUGGAGGCUCUCUGACCAGAGGAAGAAGGGUAUCCGGAGCAAGACAAAGGGAAGGCAAUGAAGGCUCAACGGCAGGCACCAGCCUUUUGUCAGCCCGGGACGGCUGCUGAGGCAGCAUGGGGAAGUGAAGACGCCCACGUCCCGUCAAGCGCCACACGUCGACCGAGGCUGCAGGCAGUUAGGGCCCGCGGUGCUCCACACUUGCCCUUUGGCUUCGCCUCGAAGCCAAGUUCGAGCGUGCCUUGGGCCCAGGGGCUACUGUCGGCGUUCUGGGAACGGGGGUACCAGACUUGCCUGCCUGCGGCCCAUGGCGUGGCUCCAUUGACGGCUUGGUACGGCCCACCAUCAGCAUUGACAACUCAAGAACUGCGCGAUGGGCUAAGCCUCGCGAGGCGGACAACACCAAGACCUCUAGAAUGAGCGGCCACCUUAGGUAGGCUCCUGAGGAGCAAAGAUUCCUAUGCAAGCUUCACCUCGUGAGGUCCAGGUUACGUGAGCCUUGACGACCAAGGCCAGUCAGGCACCAGCGGCCGACAGUACAACAGUUUCCUCUUUGGUGCUAAGGAGGCAAGCGCUGGCGAGGAGUCCCGAGGAAUCAGCCAAAGGUUUCCAUUCCCGUGCAACAAGACUAGGACCGCCAGGACGGCAGGACGGAGGUCAUUGACGAGCCCACCCUGGUGUCACAACCAGAAGCAUUGCAGGCGAAGACUACUUUUGUUAGGAUAAGAUGUACUAGUUGUCUCCCUUCAAAUUUUGCCGUUGUGGGAUCCCUUCCCGCCUUCAUUUGGGAAGAGGAUCAAAGCCACUAUAAAUAGGGCAGCACCACCACCGUAGAGAGGGAUAGGAUCCAUUCCAUCCUCACACCCACCAGCUCAGUUGAGCACAAGAACACAAUUCCUCCUGAGGUUGUUCUCCCACUGUACUAGUUCAUCACCAGCCCCUCGAGGCCAAUCCACCACAAAGCAGGAGUAGGGUUUUACACCGCAAGGUGCCCAAACCUGGGUAAUCUGCUGUGUCUCAUUUCCUUCCUAUUCAUCGAGCUAGGCCGGGAGAUUGGAGAGUAGGCAGACUGGGGAGGUUGAGUUCUUCGCACGCACCCCAGGGUUUGAAUCUAUCCAGGGUCUGCGGAGUCUAAAAUCCGACAGGGACCAAUAAACUAGGAGGGAGGUAGUAGUACGAGUAGCGCAAUAUACAGUAUAGAGGACUAGUACAAAUUUAGAAAUGGAGUAAGAAGUUACAAGGUUGUGUGACAGACUUUGUAGGCUACAUGACUAAUUGGAUAACACUUCCACCAACAAGUACACACUUGAAGCCUAAUUGAUGUGUGUGUGUGUGUAUAUAUAUAUAUAUAUAGGUAAAUUGUUUGGGGCACUUAGGUGCCCAGACACCUAGCAUUUAAUAGCUCGCAUGUCCACCCAUUUGUAUUUAUUGAUUUGAAUAGAAUUAAAACACACAUUAAUUGGUGGAGAGAGAAUGGCAGAAUAAAAAGGAAACGGAUAUACUAUGUACGCACAAUGUGACUCGUCGGCUUUUGGAUUUUUUCUACGCACAGAUAAUUAAAUGUAUACAUAAUAGUUGAUACCAUUCUAAGAUAUUCAUGAAAAAAUAUUUUUAUUAUCUAUAUCAACAAAUUGUGCGUCGACUCCAAAUAAUAUAAAUAUACCCAUGGUAUAUAUACCUACUAAUGAAAUUAUGUACAUACACGGGUACGUAUAUAUCCAAUUAUUUAUUCUAGGUUUUAGGUAUUAAAGAAAUUAUAUAGAUAGCGAAUAUGUAUAUACCUACUAACGAAAUUAUGUACAUACGUGGGUAUACAUAUAUCUUCGAACGAAAUUAUAUACAUACCCCUGCAAAAAAAGAAAUUAUAUACAUACACGGGUAUGCGUAUACCUACCAAAGAAAUUAUGUACAUAUGCGGGUAUGCAUAUACCCUAACGAAAUUAUGUACAUACGCGGGUAUGCAUAUACCAACUAACAAAAUUAUGUAUAUAUGCGCGCGCCUUGAAAAAAGGUACAUGUACGGGUAUGUGUAUGUGUAUACCCAAUUAGAUGGUGGGUAUGUGUAUACCUACUGCGAAAGUUACGUAACAUACAUGUGUAUUUUACAUACGUAGUGAUUUAUUCUACGAAUCAAUAAGUGGUAUAUAAGGAGGUAAUAAAUGUUGAUUUUUUUUUACUAUGGUAUUUUAAUCACCUUCCUUUUCUAUGAUGUGACAUACAUGCAUGAAACAGUUAAAGAAUUAAAGCCUGCCAAAUUAAGUAGUAAUUAAAUCAUUUACAUUGGUUUCUAAAUCUGUCGCUAAACACGAUCUAACGAUGGAUAAGCAAGAUGCCCGGGCAUCUAGGUGUCCCAAACUGGUGUCCUAUAUAUAUAUUGACACUAUUCUAAUCCUGGAAUUAGAAUAACUAUUUAGAUCACGAGGUGCUAUAUAGGAGCAGCGGGUGUUCCGAACUUACAGAAAGAAGAAAAAAAAAAGAAAUCCCACCCCGAACCCCACGUUCCCCACCUCUCCCUCCUCGCUCUCUCCCUGAUCCCUGCCGCCGCCAUUCCCGCCUCCGCAUCGCCAUCUACCUCAAUCCACCCCGCACGCCGGCGCCGCCGUGACCCUCGCACCUCCCCACGCGCCACCGCUGCUCCACUCCGCCUCACCAGCUACCUACCUCUCCCCCACCCGAGUCCUGCUUCCUACUGCCGCCACGCGGAUCUAGCCGCCGUACAGGAUCCCGCCGCCGCGUUUGUCGCUUGCUGGGCCCGAGGACGCGUCGGAAGCUGACCCGUCCGUGAUCUCCGGCCAACGAGGCGCGGUGGCCACCCCUCCCCCUGUUUCCACGGCGCUCGACCCGGAUGCCCGUCGCCGGCGCUCCUCCUCCCCGACCCCUUCUUCCCUGAUCCACCCCGCCUCCACCUCCGGUGACGCGGUCCACCAGUCUCCUUCCCCGGUGCGAGCCACCAGCCUGACCCUCGUCGGCGUGAUGCCCCUGCGCGCCGUCGUGGCACAGGCCCCCACCAGGGAUCCAGCCGCGACGUACUACUCAAAAGCAAAAGACAACGAUGAGAUUCUCUCCUUCGGCGCUGGCGUGGUCGCUCUCGGCUACCUACUGUGUAAAGGACAUUCAUAGGCCACAAAUCCAGCGGAUGCUAGCACGUAGGAAGUGGUGCUGCCGCGUUCAACAGAAAAAAUUUAGCAGUUCCACCGAUACAUGCCUGGAAGGAAACUUCGUAUGAGCACAAGUCACAGCACCACUACAGCGAGUCUCCGGCUUCUAAGGGAGUCGACGAGGUCACCUGGGCUCCUGCGAGAAGGGUGACAGGGUCAGCAAGAAUGCAGAUAUCGCCAAGAUGGCCAGAAUUGGUGCGGCUUGAUUUGGCUCACUACAGCGGCUCCUCUCCUCUGUUGCUCUUGCCGGCCAAGCCAAGCUGGACAUGGAUGUGUGGGUGUGCAUGCUCACUGUGAAGUACGUUCUAGGCGACCUCUUUCAGUUUGAUAUGUGUGCUCACUGUGUGGGUCGCCAUCUCUCUAUCCUGCCAAGCUACACCAGCACUUGUUGUUUCCUCUCCCUGCUGCAAUCAGUGUUGUGAGGGACGGAUAAGAUGGAGGCAUGGAGCUGGCGACUGGAUAUGGGAAGGGAGCUGCUACUGCACUUGGUCUGCUUGACAGCUGCCGUUGUGCCUGUACUUGGACAGCUGCAAAUAGUGCAACCGAACGUCCGUGUGUGUUUUUGGCAUCCCAUUUUUACAAUUGAUGCUAAUGAACAUUCGUCCACGGUCUUUUGUAGUGUUGCUAUCUACUAGAAAAAAUCAUUGAUUUUCAA